GCCCUUGUAGCUCAGUGGUAGAGCGCAGCACUUGUACUUCUACACAAGUCUCAUGCUGAGGUCCAUCGUUCAAUCCGGUGCGGGGGCA